rnacentral:lncRNA from 1 species
GAGGACUCAGAGGAACUGGCAGCUCAGCUGCAGAGCCAAGAGCUGGUUAGAGCUGCAAGGACACCGCCUGCACAGGAUGCCCGGGGCUGGGCAUUACCUGCUGCAAUGACAACAUCUGGCUGGAUGGCAGAGAGCUGACAGACCGUCGCGACGUCCCAGUCCAGCUGGGCCACUGUCACCCUGGGGCUGUCUAAGUUGGCAGUGAUAUCUGCACCUAAUGAGAGGCCAUUGAGAAGGACAUUCCCUCAGAGCUGCUAGAGGACCCAGCUGUGACAGUCCCUGAAGAUGUAUGCCCGGGGGUGGCACAUCUUGCAGAUGGCCAGGCCUGUGAGGCCAGCACCACUGCCAAGCUCUAGGACAGUCCUGGUGGGAGGAAAGGGGGUCAUGUCUGCGACUGCACCAGGGUAAGCCUGCCUCGGUGCCCUGCCCUGUGCCCUGAGGUCACCUAUCAGUGAAGGCUGCUGGGUUCUCGAUGGCCCAUUCUGCAAGGUAGAGGGCGGCAUCCCAUGUGACCAGGACUGUGAUGCCGUGGGAGAUGAUGGCUGUGCUCUUGGAGAGUGUGACUGAGCCUCCCGAGGGCAGCACCAAGAGAAGGCGAGAGAGUCAGUCCAGCGAUCAGAAGGCAAGUGGCUUAGAAGACAAGCAGCCAUCCACCACAUGGCUGAAUAAACCAUGACAGGACAAAUCGCCACUCAGCAAUGAGAAGCAGCUAACUGUUGACAUGCCAACAGCUUGCACAGGCCUCAAGGGUGUCACGUGGCAUGAAAGACACUCAUCUCAGGCCACACAGGAUUCCAUUCAUUGAACAUUCCUGAGACAAUGGAAUUCUGGCGAUGGAGCACAGGUCAGUUGUGGCCAGGGGCCGGGUGUGGCUAUGAAGGGGUGGCUGCCUUGUGAUGAUUCAAUAUGCUAUGUUUUUCCUUUGUGGUUUUCUGUAUCUAUGUUUUAUCUUAUUUUUUUUGAGCUCUGUUCCCCAGGCUGGAGUCAGUGGCACAAUCUUGGCUCACUGCAACC